AGAGUUUGAUCCUGGCUCAGGAUGAACGCUGGCGGCGUGCCUAACACAUGCAAGUCGAGCGAUUCUCUUCGGAGAAGAGCGGCGGACGGGUGAGUAACGCGUGGGUAACCUGCCUCAUACACAUGGAUAACAUACCGAAAGGUAUGCUAAUACAGGAUAAUAUAAGAGAUUCACAUGGAUUUCUUAUCAAAGCUCCGGCGGUAUGAGAUGGACCCGCGUCUGAUUAGCUAGUUGGUAAGGUAACGGCUUACCAAGGCGACGAUCAGUAGCCGACCUGAGAGGGUGAUCGGCCACAUUGGAACUGAGACACGGUCCAAACUCCUACGGGAGGCAGCAGUGGGGAAUAUUGCACAAUGGGCGAAAGCCUGAUGCAGCAACGCCGCGUGAGUGAUGAAGGCCUUCGGGUCGUAAAACUCUGUCCUCAAGGAAGAUAAUGACGGUACUUGAGGAGGAAGCCCCGGCUAACUACGUGCCAGCCGCCGC
rnacentral:rRNA from 1 species